rnacentral:rRNA from 1 species
AUGCGUUCAGCUCGCCACCUCCACGACGCGGUCUCGGCCCUCCUCCUCUUCCUGCUGCUCUCAGCCGUCGUUCCGGCGGCCAGAGCCCAGCAAGAAACUGACGAUGAGUCGGAGUUCAGCUACGUCUGCGGGGCGGAGAACGGGCCAGAGAACUGGGGAAAUAUCAAGGAAGAGUGGGCGACGUGUGGCACUGGGCUGAUGCAGUCGCCCAUCGACCUCUCCGACCGCCUUGCCUCGCAGACGCCCCACCUCGGCUACCUCAACCACUCCUACCGUCCCGCCGAGGCCUCCAUCGUCAACCGCGGCCAUGACAUCACGGUAAUGUUCCACGGCGACGCCGGGAGCAUGUGGAUCAACGGUACGGCGUAUCACCUCAGGCAGCUGCACUGGCACACCCCCAGCGAGCACCGCGUAAACGGCCGCCGGUACAACCUGGAGCUCCACAUGGUUCACCUUAGCUCUGAGAACAAGGCUGCCGUGAUCGGCCUCCUCUACAAGAUUGGCAGGCCCAACCAUUUCCUGCAUGAGCUGGAGUCUUACUUGCAGAGGAUGGCCAGCACGAAUGAGAAGGAGGAGAACGUCGGCGUGGUUGAUCCCUGGGUCGCGAGGGGCGAUGGCGAAGCCUACUACCGAUACAUGGGCUCCCUCACCACGCCGGGGUGCGACGAGGGUGUCAUCUGGACCGUCAUCAAGAGGGUUGCCACCGUGUCGAGUGAGCAGCUGAAGCUUCUCGCGGACGCCGUCCAUGAUGGCUUUGAUAUGAACGCGAGACCCCUUCAGAAGGUGAACUACAGAGAUAUCAGUUUUUUCAGCCCUGAUGAUCACCAUGAACGUUAUUAUGCAGCCGCUGAUCAUUAA